rnacentral:misc_RNA from 1 species
UUCUACAUUCCUAGUGCGGCGCUUCCUCAGCGAUGGUAUUGCGCGCGCGUGUGUGUGUGGGUGCCCCUCACGGACUGAAAGGUCCGCAACUCUCUCGCUUUGCUGCCCUCCCCCUCCCCCCUUCUCCCUCUCUUCCUCUCUCUCGCCCACCGCCACCGCCAUCACAACAAGCGACAUCCUCCCCCUCCCCCCCACACACACACCUCCAACUCCAUUCUUCGAUUUCAGCACAUCAGUACACUCACGAUGUAGCCUAGGAACCAUACCUGCACGCGCCAUCACGCACACCUUCACCACUGUUGCCUGCUUUCUUUCUCGCUCCUUAUGUGCGUUUUCUUGGCUUGCACCUCUCGAUCUGCGCCUUGGGCACUUCGCCCCGUAUGCGCCGCCGAUCCUCCUCCCCUCCCCUCAGAGCCCACCCUGGUGACGAUGAUGCCGGUCACCUUUGCACAUGGUAUCCUCAGGGUCUCGUGUAUCCCUCCCUAUCCCUUCCAAAACGCCGAGCCCACUUCUGGUGGUCACAGGUUCAGGCACUCACGACGUAGGGGCGAUCAGAGCGAUGUAUCACAACUGAUGUCGGCGGUCGUGUCCUGGAUUGGCGCUGCGGUGGAGCGGCCCGAAACAGUGCACACGUCUGUGCCAUCCGUGCGAUGGGCAGAGUGCCAGCGUGACUGGAACGCGCAUCUCACUGCCGGCCCUCGCAUUGCCUAACGGUGUGGAGAGGCUGAGCCACCCCGAAUGAUGUGCACCAGGGGUGCCGACCGGCAUGAUUGUAGGAGCGGCUGUGAGGCCGCCCUGCGGGGAGAGGUGGUAGGGAGGCAAAGAUAGAAACACACUACGGCUCUUCUCUUCACCCUCCCCCACGACCGGGGGGAUUUCUGUGCAGGAAGGCGGGCAGCGCUCGUAAAUGCUGGGCCCUUUCUCGCCUUGCCUUUGAGCUGCAUGGCUUCCAUAGCGCAUUGUUUUUAUCGGGCCAGUGCAUCUCUGCUCGCGCCUCUCCGCUCUCUCUUCCGCCUCACGCGCACGCGCAUCUACGCGCGCUUCCGUGACCGCACCCGCCGCUCGGUAAACGGUGUCUCUCAAUCCUCCUUCCCUCCCUCCCCCUCUCUAUCCAUCUGUGUUCGCUCUACAUCAAUCGCAUGCGAGCGACUGAGUGGCAG